ACCACCGUCCCUUCAUAAGGGGUGGGACCCUGUGCACUUCCUGCCGUGAUGUCACAGGACCCUGGACAUUCUAGGGUAUCCUGGAGACCAAGGUCUUCAGGGCAUGCCGGAGGGAACAUGGCAGGAGACAGAGGAGUGACCCUGUUUGUCCUGCUGCUGUCCUGCUGGCGCCACGCGGAGCCCCAGCCCAUCAACACGAUUUCAGGUCCACGUACGGUACUGCCACCAAAUUUAAAAAAUUUUGAUGACAACGUGGCUGCACUAUUUGAUGAAAUUCUAGUCCAAGAGAUAUUGGAUCCAAGUAAUUCAUCAUUGCUUAUGACACAAAGACCACUACCAAAAUCAACGAUUAUGAAGAAAAAAAGCAAAAACCUAUACUCAAACGGAUUAUAAGAUGGAUAUUAGUAAGAAGCAUCAUAAAAAGAAAUUCUCUUCUGGGAAAGAAAAAAGGCCUUUCUUUGAUGAAGAGGAGAAAGAGACACUUUAUCAGAUUAAAAGCCUAGCAGUUCUGGAAAAAAUCAUUGACAACCUUCGAAGAGCUUUAGGUAAACGGAACUUGGGGCCAUCUUGGUGACAGGCAACACUCUCAAGCAAAGACUACAGAAGCACAGGCGUUUGUUCAAAGGAGCCAAACACCACAAGGGGAAAUAGAGCCGGAACUGAGAAGCCAAGACUGCCUGAGGGGACAUCCACUCACCCCGCCACUAGGAGGAAAAAUAAAAUAGAAUCACUAUUUUCUAUAAAGAAGAAUCUCUUUAUUCAAGGAGUGCCGAAUAAAAUGAACACAUUUAAAUAUUAA